rnacentral:rRNA from 1 species
UGGCUCAGAUUGAACGCUGGCGGCAGGCUUAACACAUGCAAGUCGAGCGGAUGAAAGUAGCUUGCUACUGGAUUCAGCGGCGGACGGGUGAGUAAUGCUUAGGAAUCUGCCUAUUAGUGGGGGACAACGUUCCGAAAGGAGCGCUAAUACCGCAUACGUCCUACGGGAGAAAGCAGGGGACCUUUGGGCCUUGCGCUAAUAGAUGAGCCUAAGUCGGAUUAGCUAGUUGGUAGGGUAAAGGCCUACCAAGGCGACGAUCUGUAGCGGGUCUGAGAGGAUGAUCCGCCACACUGGGACUGAGACACGGCCCAGACUCCUACGGGAGGCAGCAGUGGGGAAUAUUGGACAAUGGGGGGAACCCUGAUCCAGCCAUGCCGCGUGUGUGAAGAAGGCCUUUUGGUUGUAAAGCACUUUAAGCGAGGAGGAGGCUACCUAGAUUAAUACUUUAGGAUAGUGGACGUUACUCGCAGAAUAAGCACCGGCUAACUCUGUGCCAGCAGCCGCGGUAAUACAGAGGGUGCGAGCGUUAAUCGGAUUUACUGGGCGUAAAGCGUGCGUAGGCGGCCAAUUAAGUCAAAUGUGAAAUCCCCGAGCUUAACUUGGGAAUUGCAUUCGAUACUGGUUGGCUAGAGUAUGGGAGAGGAUGGUAGAAUUCCAGGUGUAGCGGUGAAAUGCGUAGAGAUCUGGAGGAAUACCGAUGGCGAAGGCAGCCAUCUGGCCUAAUACUGACGCUGAGGUACGAAAGCAUGGGGAGCAAACAGGAUUAGAUACCCUGGUAGUCCAUGCCGUAAACGAUGUCU